AAUAAUUUGAUUAUAACUUAUUAAGAUUGUAGAGUAGAAUCUAAAUUUCUAGAAGGGAUAAUUGGUCUAAAGCAUAGGAUUUAUUUUAGGGACCAGGAUUAGAUACCCUGUUACUUUUAAUUAAAUAAUUUUGGAAUAAUAGUUUUUAUGAAAUUUAACGGAUUUGGCGGCAAGAUAGCCCCUUAGAGGAACCUGCCCUGUAAACGAUGAACCACGAGAGACCCUACUUUUUUUGGUGAUCAGUUUGUAUAUCGCUGUUGUCAGUUAGAUUCUUGAGAAUAUUUUCAUUCAUGAUAAGUUCAUUGACUUCAAGUAAAGGUGCAGCUUAUAGAAAAGAUAGAGGUGGGUUACAUUUAUAAGAUUAAAUACGGAUAAGAUGAAUGAAACAUUCUUUGAAGGUGGAUUUAACUGUAAAACUUAAUUAAGUUUGGUGAGAGCUCUAUCUUGUGUACACACCGCCCGUCGCUCUCUUUUUUAA
rnacentral:rRNA from 1 species